AGGCUAGGAUGGGGGCAUGAUUUG
rnacentral:miRNA from 1 species